GAUGAAGAACGUAGCGAAAUGCGAUAAGUAGUGUGAAUUGCAGAAUUCAGUGAAUCAUCGAAUCUUUGAACGCACAUUGCGCCCCUUGGUAUCCCGAGGGGCAUGCCUGUUCGAGCGUCAUUUCACCACUCAAGCCUGGCUUGGUGUUGGGCGACGUCCUCUUUGGGGACGCGCCUCGAAACGCUCGGCGGCGUGGCACCGGCUUUAAGCGUAGCAGAAUCUUUCGCUUUGGAAGUCGGGGCCCCGUCUGCCGGAAGACCUGCUCGCAAGGGUGACCUCGGAUCAGGCAGGGAUACCCGCUGAACUUAAGCAUAUCAAUAAGCGGAGGA
rnacentral:misc_RNA from 1 species